GGUGAUUCAGACAACUGAGAAAAUGACCAGAUCAAGACCAAAAUUGUAAACACCCCUGAAAGUGAUAAGAAACAAAUCACCCCUAGCAUUUCCAAUCUUUUCACAAGUAGUACAAUGGACACUACCAGCUAUAUCUUUUCCCAAAAUCAACAAAUGAAGGACGUAAAAUCGAAUGAUCGAGGUUAAUUAUGCAUAACGUAUGCAUAUUAGAAUUCAAACUUGAG
rnacentral:lncRNA from 1 species